rnacentral:sRNA from 1 species
GUAACAAUGUUUCCGUAGGUGAACCUGCGGAAGGAUCAUUAUCGAAGUAGCAACUUCAUUACACCCCUGUGAACCGUCCAUUCCUUCGGGGAUGCUAUAUAAACUCUAGUGUUGUCCAUGUAUGUCCUGUUAUUCGUAACAAAUAUAACUUUCAGCAACGGAUCUCUUGGCUCUCGCAUCGAUGAAGAACGCAGCGAAAUGCGAUAAGUAAUGUGAAUUGCAGAAUUCAGUGAAUCAUCGAAUCUUUGAACGCACCUUGCGCUCUUUGGUAUUCCAAAGAGCAUGCCUGUUUGAGCGCCUUUUACCCGACGUGCUGCUAGCCAGCGCGGAUUUGAACGUGUUGCCGGCUUGUCCGGCUCGUUCUGAAUGCAUCAGCGAAUUGAAAGCUUGAAGCAACGUGAUAAGUCUUCGUUGUUAGAGUUGGACGUUUGCUCCUAAUCGUCCUCUGGACAAUUUCUAAUGCUAGGCAUCAAAUCAGGUAG